AGUCGAGCGAGCUUGCCUAUUGAAAUUCUUCGGAAUGGACAUAGAUACAAGCUAGCGGCGGAUGGGUGAGUAACGCGUGGGUAACCUGCCCUUAAGUCUGGGAUACCAUUUGGAAACAGAUGCUAAUACCGGAUAAAAGCUACUUUCGCAUGAAAGAAGUUUAAAAGGCGGCGUAAGCUGUCGCUAAAGGAUGGACCUGCGAUGCAUUAGCUAGUUGGUAAGGUAACGGCUUACCAAGGCGAUGAUGCAUAGCCGAGUUGAGAGACUGAUCGGCCACAUUGGGACUGAGACACGGCCCAAACUCCUACGGGAGGCAGCAGUAGGGAAUCUUCCACAAUGGACGCAAGUCUGAUGGAGCAACGCCGCGUGAGUGAAGAAGGUUUUCGGAUCGUAAAGCUCUGUUGUUGGUGAAGAAGGAUAGAGGUAGUAACUGGCCUUUAUUUGACGGUAAUCAACCAGAAAGUCACGGCUAACUACGUGCCAGCAGCCGCGGUAAUACGUAGGUGGCAAGCGUUGUCCGGAUUUAUUGGGCGUAAAGCGAGCGCAGGCGGAUUGAUAAGUCUGAUGUGAAAGCCUUCGGCUCAACCGAAGAACUGCAUCAGAAACUGUCAAUCUUGAGUGCAGAAGAGGAGAGUGGAACUCCAUGUGUAGCGGUGGAAUGCGUAGAUAUAUGGAAGAACACCAGUGGCGAAGGCGGCUCUCUGGUCUGUAACUGACGCUGAGGCUCGAAAGCAUGGGUAGCGAACAGGAUUAGAUACCCUGGUAGUCCAUGCCGUAAACGAUGAGUGCUAAGUGUUGG
rnacentral:rRNA from 1 species